AUGGGCCCCGGGUUCCUCUGCUGUGUGGCCCUUUGUCUCCUGGCUGCAGGCACAGAGGGUUCUGGAGUCACGCAGACCCCAAGACAUCUGAUCAAAGCAACCAGGCAGCAAGUGACACUGACGUGUUCCUAUGUCUCUGGACAUCUCUCCGUGUUCUGGUACCAACAGAUUGAGGGCCAAGGCCCUGACUUCCUCGUUCAGUAUUACAACAAGGAAGAGCGACAAAAGGGAAGGAACAUGCCCGAUCGGUUCUCCGUGCAGCAGUUCGAUAACUACAGCGCUGAGCUGACGGCUCGCUCGCUGGAGCUGAAGGACUCGGCCCUGUAUCUCUGUGCCAGCAGCUUAGCACAGCCCUGUGGGACCGGCAGCCGCCUGCACAAAAACAGUCCCCCAGCUCAGGAAGUGACAGUGAAGUGGCAGCUGCCAGGCAGACGGGCUCAGGCGGAGGAGGGUGGCCUGCCUUCCCGAGGCACUGCCCUGCUGCUCACGGAGGAGCCGGGGGGGAAGGGUUGUUUGGAGGAACAGGCCUGGGAAGACCAGGCAUCACCUGGGACUGACCACCCCUUCCCCGACAGCGUCAAGGGACAUUUGACAUAA